rnacentral:rRNA from 1 species
CAAGUCGAGCGGAAAGGCCCUUUCGGGGGUACUCGAGCGGCGAACGGGUGAGUAACACGUGAGUAAUCUGCCCUUGGCUUCGGGAUAGCCACCGGAAACGGUGAUUAAUACCGGAUACGACACAUCACUGCAUGGUGCGUGUGUGGAAAGUUUUUUCGGCCAGGGAUGUGCUCGCGGCCUAUCAGCUUGUUGGUGGGGUAAUGGCCUACCAAGGCUUCGACGGGUAGCCGGCCUGAGAGGGUGACCGGCCACACUGGGACUGAGACACGGCCCAGACUCCUACGGGAGGCAGCAGUGGGGAAUAUUGGACAAUGGGCGGAAGCCUGAUCCAGCAACGCCGCGUGAGGGAUGACGGCCUUCGGGUUGUAAACCUCUUUCAGCACAGACGAAGCGCAAGUGACGGUAUGUGCAGAAGAAGGACCGGCCAACUACGUGCCAGCAGCCGCGGUAAUACGUAGGGUCCGAGCGUUGUCCGGAAUUAUUGGGCGUAAAGGGCUCGUAGGCGGUUUGUCGCGUCGGGAGUGAAAACACCGGGCUUAACUCGGUGCUUGCUUUCGAUACGGGCAGACUAGAGGUAUUCAGGGGAGAACGGAAUUCCUGGUGUAGCGGUGAAAUGCGCAGAUAUCAGGAGGAACACCGGUGGCGAAGGCGGUUCUCUG